UUUCUCUACAUUACUUAGCAAAAAUAGAUUUUGUAAUCCCUGUACAUGUUUCCAUAUCUCAUUAUGAGCAUGACUUGUAUUUUAUUGUCACAUAACAGCAUUUUACUUGACCAAAAUACUGCAUUUCUGAAAAUUUACAACCUGUCACAAUUAUAAAGAAGACACUGAGAGAAAACACCUAAGCAGAAGGCACACGUGUGUAGGUAUGAGUGGAAAGGUCAUUAUCAUCUUCCUGUCUCUAGUUUUACUAAAUUGGCAGGAGACACACAGCAAAAGGGAAGAAUUAAUUAUGAAUUUUGCAGUAGUUAAUCUUGGUAUUUGUUUGGUUUUUCAGUGUUUGAACAUCUUUGGGAAUCUUGAACUCACUUUAUUUGAAGCAGCUUGGCUGAGACAAAUCUACUGUUUGAAAUCAAUGCACGAUCUAUGCAUUGAUCUUCAAUGGAUUGAUCCUCCUCAAAGAUACACAGGGAAAAAAAUCGAAUCUUGGAGUUCAUUUAUAAUGGGGAGAAACUCUUCACCAAGAAACUUUCGUUCCCCAUCAUAACUAUCUUCCUGGGCAGAUUUCAAAGUUAUUGCAAGAUAUGAAGAGCAAAAGCAGCAAGAUGAAAACCUGUCUCUCCAGUUGAGAAAUGCUGGCCUACACUGAAAUAACUUGUCACCAUCUUGCUCCUAGAGGUAGGAAUUCCCUCUGUGCAGGGAAUACAGAUUCCAACAGGCCAGAGAGGAACAGCUGAACAUGAAGAGUUGGGGCUCCAAACCUGGGCUUGGAUGCAGCUUCUCCAAGCAUUCAAGGACUCCCAGCAAAGAAAUGCUUUCUGCAAACUUUAUCUUCUUAGUGCCUGGGCGGAUUUAGGAAUUCAGUCAGCUGCCUGAGCUAGAAAGGUGCUAAUCUCCUCUUAGAGGCCUCCUGGUGACCCAGUAAGAGAGACUUUUCUCCCUUUCAGUGGAGAAGGCCACAAAAUGUAAGAACUGCCUUGCGGGGAGCUCAGCUCCUGCAGUGCUCUAUUCCCGCUGAGAGACUCCGGGAAAGCAGAGGUUUCCUUAAAGCUUAACUGACUCGCUGCUGCUCUUUCUGAGGAACAUUACUUGCAUUUUGCAAUUGGUGUUUUAAAAAUGUCACACAUUUUUGCUAGAGAAAAAUUGAUGUGCAGAAACCAGAUGAUUUGGAGAAUAAACAAAGUCAUAAAGAGA